rnacentral:tRNA from 1 species
UUUCUGGUGAUCCAAUGGCUAAGACUCUGCACUCCCAAUACAGGGACCCAGGUUCGAUCCCUGGUCAGGGAA